rnacentral:miRNA from 1 species
CAGUCAGGCUACUGGCUACAGUCCAGCUCCUAGCUGGAUUUAGCCAAAGUCUGACUGUAA